AUACGGAGGGUGCAAGCGUUACUCGGAAUCACUGGGCGUAAAGCGCGCGCAGGCGGUCUUUUAAGUUGGAUGUGAAAGCCUACGGCUCAACCGUAGAACUGCAUCCAAAACUAUUAGACUAGAGUGUGGGAGAGGAAGAUGGAAUUAGUUGUGUAGGGGUAAAAUCCGUAGAGAUAACUAGGAAUACCAAUAGCGAAGGCAAUCUUCUGGAACACUACUGACGCUGAGGCGCGAAAGCGUGGGGAGCAAACAGGAUUAGAUACCCUUGUAGUCC
rnacentral:rRNA from 1 species